rnacentral:rRNA from 1 species
AGAGUUUGAUCCUGGCUCAGGAUGAACGCUAGCUACAGGCUUAACACAUGCAAGUCGAGGGGAAACGACAUCGAAAGCUUGCUUUUGAUGGGCGUCGACCGGCGCACGGGUGAGUAACGCGUAUCCAACCUGCCCAUCACUUGGGGAUAACCUUGCGAAAGUAAGACUAAUACCCAAUGACGUCUCUAGAAGACAUCUGAAAGAGAUUAAAGAUUUAUCGGUGAUGGAUGGGGAUGCGUCUGAUUAGCUUGUUGGCGGGGUAACGGCCCACCAAGGCGACGAUCAGUAGGGGUUCUGGAGAGGAAGGUCCCCCANAUUGGAACUGAGACACGGUCCAACUCCUACGAGAGGCA